GACGAACGCUGGCGGCGUGCUUAACACAUGCAAGUCGAACGGAAAGGCCCUGCUUUUGUGGGGUGCUCGAGUGGCGAACGGGUGAGUAACACGUGAGUAACCUGCCCUUGACUUUGGGAUAACUUCAGGAAACUGGGGCUAAUACCGGAUAGGAGCUCCUGCUGCAUGGUGGGGGUUGGAAAGUUUCGGCGGUUGGGGAUGGACUCGCGGCUUAUCAGCUUGUUGGUGUAGUGGCUUACCAAGGCUUUGACGGGUAGCCGGCCUGAGAGGGUGACCGGCCACAUUGGGACUGAGAUACGGCCCAGACUCCUACGGGAGGCAGCAGUGGGGAAUAUUGCACAAUGGGCGGAAGCCUGAUGCAGCAACGCCGCGUGCGGGAUGACGGCCUUCGGGUUGUAAACCGCUUUCGCCUGUGACGAAGCGUGAGUGACGGUAAUGGGUAAAGAAGCACCGGCUAACUACGUG
rnacentral:rRNA from 1 species